GAACGCUGGCGGCGUGCCUAAUACAUGCAAGUAGAACGCUGAAGAGAGGAGCUUGCUCUUCUUGGAUGAGUUGCGAACGGGUGAGUAACGCGUAGGUAACCUGCCUUGUAGCGGGGGAUAACUAUUGGAAACGAUAGCUAAUACCGCAUAACAAUGGAUGACACAUGUCAUUUAUUUGAAAGGGGCAAUUGCUCCACUACAAGAUGGACCUGCGUUGUAUUAGCUAGUAGGUGAGGUAAUGGCUCACCUAGGCGACGAUACAUAGCCGACCUGAGAGGGUGAUCGGCCACACUGGGACUGAGACACGGCCCAGACUCCUACGGGAGGCAGCAGUAGGGAAUCUUCGGCAAUGGGGGCAACCCUGACCGAGCAACGCCGCGUGAGUGAAGAAGGUUUUCGGAUCGUAAAGCUCUGUUGUAAGUCAAGAACGGGUGUGAGAGUGGAAAGUUCACACUGUGACGGUAGCUUACCAGAAAGGGACGGCUAACUACGUGCCAGCAGCCGCGGUAAUACGUAGGUCCCGAGCGUUGUCCGGAUUUAUUGGGCGUAAAGCGAGCGCAGGCGGUUUGAUAAGUCUGAAGUUAAAGGCUGUGGCUCAACCAUAGUUCGCUUUGGAAACUGUCAAACUUGAGUGCAGAAGGGGAGAGUGGAAUUCCAUGUGUAGCGGUGAAAUGCGUAGAUAUAUGGAGGAACACCGGUGGCGAAAGCGGCUCUCUGGUCUGUAACUGACGCUGAGGCUCGAAAGCGUGGGGAGCGAACAGGAUUAGAUACCCUGGUAGUCCACGCCGUAAACGAUGAGUGCUAGGUGUUGGAUCCUUUCCGGGAUUCAGUGCCGCAGCUAACGCAUUAAGCACUCCGCCUGGGGAGUACGACCGCAAGGUUGAAACUCAAAGGAAUUGACGGGGGCCCGCACAAGCGGUGGAGCAUGUGGUUUAAUUCGAAGCAACGCGAAGAACCUUACCAGGUCUUGACAUCCCGAUGCUAUUUCUAGAGAUAGAAAGUUACUUCGGUACAUCGGUGACAGGUGGUGCAUGGUUGUCGUCAGCUCGUGUCGUGAGAUGUUGGGUUAAGUCCCGCAACGAGCGCAACCCCUAUUGUUAGUUGCCAUCAUUCAGUUGGGCACUCUAGCGAGACUGCCGGUAAUAAACCGGAGGAAGGUGGGGAUGACGUCAAAUCAUCAUGCCCCUUAUGACCUGGGCUACACACGUGCUACAAUGGUUGGUACAACGAGUUGCGAGUCGGUGACGGCGAGCUAAUCUCUUAAAGCCAAUCUCAGUUCGGAUUGUAGGCUGCAACUCGCCUACAUGAAGUCGGAAUCGCUAGUAAUCGCGGAUCAGCACGCCGCGGUGAAUACGUUCCCGGGCCUUGUACACACCGCCCGUCACACCACGAGAGUUUGUAACACCCGAAGUCGGUGAGGUAACCUUUUGGAGCCAGCCGCCUAAGGUGGGACAGAUGAUUGGGGU
rnacentral:rRNA from 1 species